GGGGAUUUAGGAGCCCCAAAAAGAAUGAGAAGAGGUCCAAAGGCCUGCCCUCUUUGGAAGCAAGCACAUAUAUAGAGGAUCUGAGAACAGUUUUUUUUUUUUUUUUUGGUAAAAAUGUUAAGAUAUUAUUACCAAUUUUCUUGUUUUUGACAGAAGUACAAUGGAAACGAGAAGCGGAACAAAUAAAAUAAAUCUAAACAGCUACUCGAUGAAGCCUAGCAGAGACAGACGAACAAACCGG
rnacentral:lncRNA from 1 species